CAUAGCUUUUGCUACACACUUAGAUAUACAAAAUGUCUAAAUACGUAACAAAAGCAAUAUAUCUUGAAACAUCAAAACAUCAUAUAACUUGGAACGAGGGGAGUACCAAUGAACAAGAAACGUCCCUACCUUAGUCUCACCUGAUUCCGUAGUUCUAAUUUCAAAGAGUCUAGUCAGCUAAUCAAAAGAUUCUAUCAAAUAUUUUUUAUUCACUAGUGAAGCAUUUUUAAUAGAGAAUCUAAAUAUGAAACAUCUUUGCAAGAAUCUAGAACCCUACACACAUGCUUUUCAUUAAGGUUGUUAGAUGAGUACUCUCCCAUGUCAAAAUAAGUGUGAAUCUUACUUCUCGAGGAGAUUGACUCAUUUUAUAAAAAACAAUAUCAAUAACUAUAUCAUCAAAUAAGUUUAUUAUCGAGUUAUAUGCCACAAUAUACUAAUACUAUACAUAAUAAAUAUUACUAUUUUUUGUUGUAUAUUUGAUCUUAAAAAAACGAGAAGUGCAUUUGUUUUAGAACGGAGGGAGUAGCUUGUGGUCAUAUUCAAAAUUUCUAGAAAAAGGAUUUUCAAUUAAAUAUUUUAGCUAAUAAUUUAUAAGCACAAAAUUUUUAAAACAAACUUUUAAGCCAGGAUUUUAUUUUAAUUAGGAAUUUCAGGAUGGUUUCUAGAAUGAAUUUUUAAUGAUGUGAUUAUGUGAAACAUUUUCCAAAGUCCCCCGAGGUGAAGCCGGCGACGGUCCUCACACGAUCACACCUCAAUGGCACGAAUCGUGGCGCGCAACCAACGGAGCCAGAGAACCCAACGUGUCCUAUGAACCCAGCCGAGCCACACCAAAGCCGGCGGCACCAAUUCCACCCCUCGCCGCCAUCUCCCACCUCUCUUUUUUCUCUUCCCCCCACCAGCCGUCCAGCAAAGAGCCGAAGCGGCGACGCUAGGGUUUGCUUCGACGGCCGCGAAACCUAGACCCUACUGCUCCCUCCCACAGCGCGGGCCGCCAUUCAGUAAUCUAGCUGCUAUACGCUUCGCUCCCCGCUCCGAUUGGGAGCUAGGGUUUAGCUCAGCUUCGGGUCGCGGCGGCGCGGCAUGGCGGGGUACGGGGAGGAGAACCAGAACGCCAUGAACGGGUACGAGGAGGAAGAGGAGGAAGAAGAGGUUGAAGAGGUCGAGGAGGUGUACGAAGAGGAGGAGGAGGAGGGGGACGGGGAUGGGGAGGGGGAGGGGGAAGCGGACGAGGGGGCUGCGGCCGCCGAGGCAGCGGCGAUGGCGGCCGAGACGAGAAGCGUCGUUGGAGACCGGGGCCUAGCGGAGGCCGCUGGGAAUGUUGACGCUGGUGGCGAGGAUGGGAGAGAUGCAGAUUCUGGGGGUGGUGAUUCGUCGGGGUGAGUUCCUUGGUAUCUUGGUUUUUCGUGUAGGGUUCGGUCUGUUGUAUUGGAUUAGGUGUGGCUGAUAGUUUUGGUUUGGUGCAUCCUCGUAUGUGAUUUUGCAGGAAGAUUUUCGUAGGGGGUGUAGCCUGGGAGACAACCGAAGGUAGUGAGCAAUUCUUUUGCGAUCUAAUCUAACUAUGAGGCAAUUUUAGUUUGUAUCAAGUAAAAUGUUGUACAACACACGAUAUAUUCUGGGAAAACAACACAGUACAAAGGCAAAUUUAGUUCUUUGUUUUGUUAGCAUAAAAGAAAAAUAUCUGCAAAUGAUAUAGUUGUUUCUGUUUUCAUGUGUUACUGAUUAAGUUCCGCAUUGGUUGGAUGAGUUACUGAUGCACUAUGAUUUUGCCUAGGUAGGCUAAUGUAUGUGGUAAAAGCUUAGAAUUGGGAGCUACUGCUACCUCCAUUAUAUUGAUGGAAGCAAGCCUGUACAUUGUAUAUCUCCCUCCAUCGUAUUGAUGGAAGCAAGCAUAUACUUUCUUUUCUUGUUUGUGUGUUCUUAAAUAGUAACAUAAAACAUUGCUAUUUGGUGAUUUGUGCCAGCCUACUUAAUGGAUUUCAGAAUUACAGCCAUUCUGAAUAUUUAGGUUUUUGAAGGACAGUUGCUACACAAUUUUUGUCUAAUUCCUAAACUGGUUAUGAGAUGCUGUUCCAUCUUUGUCUGCUCUGUUGUUUUUCGUGCUGAUCAGCUAGCUAUUGUGCUGCGAUGAUCAUAUUAAUACCAGUCAUGUUAAAUAAACUAUUAAUCUUUAUGAUUUAUUUCGUGUAAUUAUUCUGGAACUGUAUGUCAUUUGACCAAUACAGAUCAGGCUUCAUUUGGUGUAUUGGUAGGACUGAUUCUGCUUUGAUCUUUUCAAUAAUCACUAACUUAUGGAAAUAAUAAGUGUGACUCAGUGUGCAUAGAUCUGUGAACUAGAAAACAGUAAAUGGCUUUCAUUUCAAUAUAUUAAUGACAAUGUGGGUGAACUGUAAAAUAGGAGAAGUAUUUUAUUUGAGAAAUUGAAUGGCAAUUAAGUGUGUGUUUGCAUUGUUGUUCUAGAAUUAUUUGUCAGUUUUGUGUUCCUAACUUUGGAACAUAGGAGUGUCAUGGUCUUUAUUGUCACAUAAUUAGUUUGCAAUCUCACAUGGGUAUUGCUCUGUAGCUUAACUAAAGUUGUCUUCAAGAUGAAUCUUUCCCAUUAAUGAACCUCCAAAUCUACUCCAAAACUGUAUGUGAACCUUUUAGGAGUCAUGUUGCUCAUUCAUACUUUUUUUAGUCAUCAGUAGUGCCAAGUAUCUGCAGCUACAAAAGAAACAUUAGAAUACUGAUUGCUGAUCUCAUAGAGCAAUAAGUUUUUGUUAGAUUGUGUUAACUUGUUUAUUUCACUCCAUUUGCAUGUGCAGAAACAUUCACAAAGCAUUUUCAGAAGUAUGGAGCUAUAACUGAUUCUGUGAUCAUGAAGGACAAGCAUACUAGGAUGCCUCGUGGAUUUGGAUUUGUUACAUUUUCCGAUCCAUCUGUGCUUGACAGGGUUCUAGAGGAUGCCCAUGUCAUAGAUGGAAGAACAGUAAGGCUUCUAUGUUAAAUAUCCAAAUACCGCGAUCUUAAUUUUGGACUAUAUUAUCAACUGCGUUUAUUAUGCUUCAAGGUUGAAGUCAAAAGGACUGUCCCAAAAGAGGAAAUGUCGUCGAAAGAUGGACCUAAGACAAAAAAGAUCUUUGUGGGUGGUAUCCCAUCAUCUCUUACCGAAGGUACAAGCGUUGCUGAAACCUUUUUUGUUUUCAAGCAAAAGAUAUCUCAACAUUGUAUUGAACUUGCAAAUUAUAAUAACUUUGAUUAGCCACCAGCUAUAGUUGUUGGGCCUUGAAAACAUUUGUUUUGAAUGCAAGCAUGAUUAAUAUGAACUUUGCAGAUAAAUUAAAGGAGCACUUCUCAUCAUAUGGGAAGGUGGUUGAGCAUCAGAUUAUGCUUGACCAUAGCACUGGACGCUCGCGUGGCUUUGGAUUUGUCACAUUUGAAAGUGAGGAUGCUGUUGAAAGGGUUAUGUCAGAGGGGAGAAUGCAUGAUCUUGGAGGGAAACAGGUCACUUCUUUAUCUUUCAUUGUGUUUAGUGAUGUUAAAUAUCAUUGGCAUGUAAGCAGUUCUGCAGUUUUCAGGUUCAAUUAGCAAAUGCUCUAACUUGGCACGCCGUACUUCAUUGUUGUUGUUCACUUAAUUUGGUUAAUAAUCUUUUGGAUGCAAUUCUGUCUCUGUAUAAUAACUGAUGUGUUUGGGAGUUUUUGAACAUUGAUUCUUGUUUGUUUAGUACUCCCUCUGCUCCAAAUUAUAAGAUGUUUUCGGCUUUUCUUGUUCUACUGAUUUUACUAUAUAUAUCUAGACGUAGUGUAUAUCUAAGUGCAUAGCAAAAGCUAUGUAUCUAGAAAAGCCAAAAUGUCUUACAAUUUGGAAUGGAGGGAGUACAUAUCAUUACAUCAACAUGCUAGGAAGUAAGAAGUUUGAACUUUUAAUUGAUAGCAUGCUGAAUAUUGUUGACCUGACACUUUUUUUGAGUACGGAUCUAUGGUACUAGUUCUGCAUAUAGGGGUGUGUACAUUGUACUCUGUAUUAUUGAAAUAGACGCCAUCAUGCCAUUCUUUAUGAGAUAUUAUCUUUGUAUUGCGGAGAUGGUUACUUGAAAUGCAUUUCACUGGAUUACAUAAAUCAGCACUCAAUAGCUGAAGCACAUCCAGGGCCUGGGUUCAUUUUCCGGUGGAAGUGAAUUUCAGGGCUGGUUAAAAACCUCCCUAGGCAACCUCUGAAAUAGUGGCAGGGCACCAUCCUAUGGUAAAGGUGGCAGUUGGCCUGUGUGACUGAGUGGUGUGGUCUACCUUGAGAGUAGUCAUGGGGCGCUGAACUGGCGCUGUGGUGUGUGGUCCUGUGGCCACUGGCCUAGGUUAUGGUGCAGCACUAUAGGGUCUGCACUAUCAGUGUUCGGUCAGUUUCUCUGUGGUUAAGUAGUUCUUCUGUGGGGGGCAGUUUUGUCAGGAACUCUCAAUAUAGCUUUCAAUUGUGCCGGCAAUGGACAGAAGAUUCGGCUUAUGCUGGGCAAUGGACAGAAGAAGAGUUGGACUGGAUUUGCAUUGGACCACGGAGGCAUUGGAUACAGAGUACAAGGGCAGCAGCAGCAGCUAUGGGGGACUCGUCAAAGAACAGACCACAGAACCGGUGGUGAGCUCUGCUCAUGGCGAGUCUCUGGACUCGAUUUGCCUUUCUUUCCUCCUCCAUAUUACUUCAUAGUUGUAUCCAGCACAUUCUAGAAACUACCGAUUUGGGUUCGUGACAACUGGUGUCAGAGCUGUUGAUCCAUGGGCUCUCCAAUCUAGCCAUGGAUUCUGCAGAGGCGGCGCGGUGCUCUGGUUGGUUC
rnacentral:lncRNA from 1 species